UACGUAGGGGGCGAGCGUUGUCCGAAUUUACUGGGCGUAAAGCGUGCGCAGGCGGUUCGUUGUGUCGGCGGUGAAAGCCCCGGGCUCAACCUGGGAAUGGCCGUUGAAACUGGCGAACUGGAGUGUGGCAGAGGGGGGUGGAAUUCCGCGUGUAGCAGUGAAAUGCGUAGAGAUGCGGAGGAACACCGAUGGCGAAGGCAGCCCCCUGGGCUAACACUGACGCUCAGGCACGAAAGCGUGGGGAGCAAACAGG
rnacentral:rRNA from 1 species